GAUGAACGCUGGCGGCGUGCCUAAUACAUGCAAGUCGAGCGAACGGACGAGAAGCUUGCUUCUCUGAUGUUAGCGGCGGACGGGUGAGUAACACGUGGAUAACCUACCUAUAAGACUGGGAUAACUUCGGGAAACCGGAGCUAAUACCGGAUAAUAUUUUGAACCGCAUGGUUCAAAAGUGAAAGACGGUCUUGCUGUCACUUAUAGAUGGAUCCGCGCUGCAUUAGCUAGUUGGUAAGGUAACGGCUUACCAAGGCAACGAUGCAUAGCCGACCUGAGAGGGUGACGGGCCACACGGGAACUGAAACAGGGCACAGACCCAUAGGGGAGGCAGGAGUAGGGAAUCUUCCGAAAGGGGGGAAAGCCUGACGGAGCAACGCCGGGGGGGGGAGGAAGGUCUUCGGAUCGUAAAACUCUUUUAUUAGGGAAAAAAAAAUGUGUAAGUAACUGGGCACAUCUGGACGGUACCUAAAAAAAAAGCCACGGAUAAAUACGG
rnacentral:rRNA from 1 species